AUUGGAAACGAUGGCUAAUACCGCAUGAUGCCUACGGGCCAAAGAGGGGGACCUUCGGGCCUCUCGCGUCAGGAUAUGCCUAGGUGGGAUUAGCUAGUUGGUGAGGUAAGGGCUCACCAAGGCGACGAUCCCUAGCUGGUCUGAGAGGAUGAUCAGCCACACUGGAACUGAGACACGGUCCAGACUCCUACGGGAGGCAGCAGUGGGGAAUAUUGCACAAUGGGCGCAAGCCUGAUGCAGCCAUGCCGCGUGUGUGAAGAAGGCCUUCGGGUUGUAAAGCACUUUCAGUCGUGAGGAAGGUGGUGUAGUUAAUAGCUGCAUCAUUUGACGUUAGCGACAGAAGAAGCACCGGCUAACUCCGUGCCAGCAGCCGCGGUAAUACGGAGGGUGCGAGCGUUAAUCGGAAUUACUGGGCGUAAAGCGCAUGCAGGUGGUUUGUUAAGUCAGAUGUGAAAGCCCGGGGCUCAACCUCGGAAUAGCAUUUGAAACUGGCAGACUAGAGUACUGUAGAGGGGGGUAGAAUUUCAGGUGUAGCGGUGAAAUGCGUAGAGAUCUGAAGGAAUACCGGUGGCGAAGGCGGCCCCCUGGACAGAUACUGACACUCAGAUGCGAAAGCGUGGGGAGCAAACAGGAUUAGAUACCCUGGUAGUCCACGCCGUAAACGAUGUCUACUUGGAGGUUGUGGCCUUGAGCCGUGGCUUUCGGAGCUAACGCGUUAAGUAGACCGCCUGGGGAGUACGGUCGCAAGAUUAAAACUCAAAUGAAUUGACGGGGGCCCGCACAAGCGGUGGAGCAUGUGGUUUAAUUCGAUGCAACGCGAAGAACCUUACCUACUCUUGACAUCCAGAGAACUUUCCAGAGAUGGAUUGGUGCCUUCGGGAACUCUGAGACAGGUGCUGCAUGGCUGUCGUCAGCUCGUGUUGUGAAAUGUUGGGUUAAGUCCCGCAACGAGCGCAACCCUUAUCCUUGUUUGCCAGCGAGUAAUGUCGGGAACUCCAGGGAGACUGCCGGUGAUAAACCGGAGGAAGGUGGGGACGACGUCAAGUCAUCAUGGCCCUUACGAGUAGGGCUACACACGUGCUACAAUGGCGCAUACAGAGGGCGGCCAACUUGCGAAAGUGAGCGAAUCCCAAAAAGUGCGUCGUAGUCCGGAUUGGAGUCUGCAACUCGACUCCAUGAAGUCGGAAUCGCUAGUAAUCGUGGAUCAGAAUGCCACGGUGAAUACGUUCCCGGGCCUUGUACACACCGCCCGUCACACCAU
rnacentral:rRNA from 1 species